rnacentral:rRNA from 1 species
GAUGAACGCUGGCGGCGUGCCUAACACAUGCAAGUCGAGCGAACACACGAGCAGCUUGGGCCUCGGACUGUAUCGGCGGACGGGUGAGUAACACUGAGAUACCCUACCUAUAAGACUGGGAUAACGUCGGGAAACCGGGGCUAUUACCGGAUAAUAUAUUGAACCGCAUGGGUCAAGACGGGAAGGCGUCUUUUCCGGCAGUUAUAGAGGGAGCCGGGCCGCAGUAGCAAGAUGGUGAGGUAACGGCUUACCAAGGCAACGGUGCGUAGCGGACCUGAGAGGGUGAUCGGCCACCCUGGCACUGAGACACGGUCCAGACUCCUACGGGAGGCAGCCGUAGGGAAUCUUCCGCAAUGGGCGAAAGCCUGACGGAGCAACGCCGCGUGAGUGAUGAAGGUCUUCGGAUCGUAAAACUCUGUUAUUAGGGAAGAACAAAUGUGUAAGUAACUAUGCACGUCUUGACGGUACCUAAUCAGAAAGCCACGGCUAACUACGUG